GACGAACGCUGGCGGCGUGCUUAACACAUGCAAGUCGAACGGAGGAUUUAUUUCGGUAAAUCCUUAGUGGCGAACGGGUGAGUAACGCGUGGGCAAUCUGCCCUUCAGAUGGGGGCAACAUCCCGAAAGGGGUGCUAAUACCGAAUACGAUCACGCUGCCGCAUGGCGGUGUGAUGAAAGAGGGCCUCUAUUUAUAAGCUAUCGCUGAAGGAUGAGCCUGCGUCUGAUUAGCUAGUUGGUGGGGUAACGGCCUACCAAGGCGAUGAUCAGUAGCCGGUCUGAGAGGAUGAACGGCCAUAUUGGGACUGAGACACGGCCCAAACUCCUACGGGAGGCAGCAGUGGGGAAUAUUCCGCAAUGGACGAAAGUCUGACGGAGCAACGCCGCGUGAGUGAUGAAGGUUUUCGGACUGUAAAACUCUGUUGUUUAGGACGAAAGUGCCUGUUGCGAACAGUUGCAGGUAUUGACGGUAGUGAACGAGGAAGCCACGGCUAACUACGUGCCAGCCGCCGCCGUAAGAC
rnacentral:rRNA from 1 species